ensembl:lncRNA
ACUGCUACUGGUCUGGUUGUUUUCUGUGUUGGCAGAUUUUCCAAUACCUUUCUGCUUCCUGCAAGUGGGAACAGCUGCAGUGUUCCAAUUACAUCUCAGUCCCAAGCGCCUCAAGGACACUGCUCUUCUGCAAAGGAUCCGAGGUGAAAAGGGUGAUAAUGUUCUCUGUCACAGAUCUGUGGAUUCUUAAAGAGAAGUUCUCUUGGGAGAGAACGUAUUACAGGCAGUGUUGCAGGCAUCCUCACUCCUUGGAAAAGCUUAUUUCUUCAGAUGGGAGUUCAGAAGCGUUGGGCCAGAGCAAAAUGAGCAUUUUGUCAUUAGUGUGCUGCUGUUAAGACGGGAACAGCUCAUCCUGUGUGCCCGUGUAUAAUGGAAGUGUCUGCUUCUGGUAACUGCUGUUUGUCCAUGAUGACUCGGGUGAGCACCUUGUCACUGUUGUGUCUUGGAUCCAUCCCUGCAUUUUGCAGGGUCUGGAUCUUGGUAUGCCGGCUAGUGGAAGAAGCAAGGGAGAACUUCAGUAAGAAAAGUCCUUUAAACUGCUUUCAAGAAGAACAUUUCAUUAAAGCAUUUAUUUCUCUUUUCAACACCGGUGCCUGGAAAACCAUUUAUUUUGAUCUGUGAGACUUUAUUUAGAUUAACAGUUACCCUAAAACCAUAAUAGCCAUUAUAAAAUAUGAUCGUUCUCAUCUUAAGAGUUUGGGAGUAAUUGGAUUUGUCUGGGCUGCUGCUGGUGAAGUGCUCACCUCCCAACACCUGGGACCAGCAGUGCUUAAUUGGACCUCAGCUGCGCAGCAUAGCUACGCUUCCCUCUGGCUGCAGCAGCAGGAGGGAGCAGGCGUUCACAGGCUGAUUAGCUGUUGCUGGUCCGGUUGAUGAUUUUCUUUUUCCAGCUAUUUUCUCGAGUUUGUAAUGCUGUGAAAGAACUGCACUGGAAAACAAACGGAAGAAAAUGUGCCGUCAUGCCUUAGCAAGAGGAGAGCCUGAGUUUGGACGCUCCAUGUUUCUUCUUGAUGUUCUGAGAUGCUAAUGUGGACCUCACAUACCAUGGAAGCCUUUCUGGUGGGGGACUGUAAAUCUUUAAAGGGAGAUAAUGAUAGAAUUGCUGAUGCGACCUGAUUAUAUCAGUGUGAAUGGGACUGCCAAAAUACAAUUAAAGAAACAGCUUAUAUUCUCUGUCUUGUAGGCAGGAUACAAUUGUUCAUGUCAUUACCACACUUGUUAUUUUCCUGGUGACAAUUGAUUUAACGUACUGUUUGGAAAACGUAUGUGCUUAUUCUCUCAGUGCUGAUUUAUGAUGUGAUAAGAAAGUGCCAAACUUCUUAGCAAUAAAAGAGGUUCUGUGCAGUGUGGUAUGCAGUCAGCAUCUCAUCCUCCAGUCCCUGAAGACUAAUGGAUAGACUGAAGGAAUUACUGCUGACUGCCGUUCAGUGCAGAGGCAUUUAAUACAGGUGAUGUGUGGCACAAGGCUGCCUGGUUCUGCUAUUGUGCCCAGAGAACUGGGAGGCAGAAUGCUAGCUGCAGUUCUGUGCUAUGGCAUAAAAGGCUCCAACUUUGCACAACCCAUGGCUGCGUGCGCUGGUGUUGCUGGGAGAGGUGGUGGCUGUAUAUGUGGGGGCUCUGUGAGGGCUGUGCCUAGCUCCUCCAGCCCUGCCUCAUGCCUGCUCAGUAGGCUUUGCAAUCUGUGCCGUAAUAACUCUUCUUUACUCACUGCAUUCAUUUUGUCCAAGGUUUGUCUGGUUUUGGAAUAGAAACUGGAAUUAAACUUAUGCAGAAAAAUGGUACUUUGAAGUAAAUAAACAGUAUAUGCACUGCAUAAUG